AUGUGUGCCACCAUGAAUAUGUCUGUUGGUGUGUUAUCUUGGAAUGUCAGGGGGCUCAAUAACCCCGCUAGGCGUAGCUCUAUUCGUUUGUUUCUGCAAACCUGUGAUGUAUCACUUGUCCGUCUCCAAGAAUCUAAAUUGGCCAUGGUGGAUGCUGGGGUGGUUAGUCAAGCUCUGGGCCCUGCUUUUGAUGGGUUUGCCUUCCUUCCUGCUGAUGGGACCAGAGGGGGUAUUAUUAUGGCCUGGAAGCAGGACUGCUUGCAUAUUUCUUCAGUGCAUAAGGGGGAAUUUUCCAUCACAAUUAAGGUGUCUUCUCUGUCAGAUGGCAAAGAGUGGAUGGCGACUUCAGUUUAUGGGCCUCAAGAGGAGGACAAGAUUAGAUUUCUGGAGGAAAUCGUUGGCCUUGGUUCCAAUAUCCAGCUCCCUUGGAUUGUGAAUGGGGACUUUAAUUUGGUGUGCAACGUCGAAGAACGUAGUACGCUCAGAUUCAAUAGAAGGCUGGCUAACAAGUUCAGACACACCAUCAACUCUUUGGGUUUGUAUGACAUGCCAUUGGUGGGGAGGAGAUUCACCUGGUGCAAUAAUCAAGAGAACAUAGUGAUGGCCAGGUUGGAUCGGUUUUUAUUCAAUAAUGCCUGGGAGGAUGUCUUCCCAAUUAGCGACCUGUUACCUCUAAGCUCCAACAUCUCUGAUCACUGCCCUCUGCUGAUGAGCUGCUCUUUGGACAGACCAAGAACUCGCCGCUUCCACUUUGAAAAUGUCUGGGUCAGGUUACCAGGUUUUAUGGAGAUUGUCAAGGAGGCGUGGGAGGAAGAAGUCGAUUCCGGUGAUGCCAUGUGGAUUUUCUGUAUCAAGCUUGGUCGAACAGCUAGGGCUCUCUGUAGUUGGGGGCAGAAGAGACAGAGUGCCUUGAAUCUUCAGUUUCAGAUAGCCAACGAGGUGAUUUUGCAUCUAGAUGGUGCUCAAAAGGCCAGGCAACUAUCUACUGAUGAACGAAGAUUGAGGGUUUUUCUCAAGGGAAGUGUCUAG
rnacentral:rRNA from 1 species